UACGUAGGGUGCGAGCGUUGUCCGGAAUUAUUGGGCGUAAAGAGCUCGUAGGCGGUGUGUCGCGUCGGUCGUGAAAACUUUCAGCUUAACUGGGAGCUUGCGGUCGAUACGGGCAUCACUGGAGUUCGGCAGGGGAGACUGGAAUUCCUGGUGUAGCGGUGAAAUGCGCAGAUAUCAGGAGGAACACCGGUGGCGAAGGCGGGUCUCUGGGCCGAUACUGACGCUGAGGAGCGAAAGCGUGGGGAGCAAACAGG
rnacentral:rRNA from 1 species